GAAUAUUGCACAAUGGGGGAAACCCUGAUGCAGCCAUGCCGCGUGUAUGAAGAAGGCCUUCGGGUUGUAAAGUACUUUCAGUCGUGAGGAAGGUGGUGCAGUUAAUAGCUGCAUCACUUGACGUUAGCGACAGAAGAAGCACCGGCUAACUCCGUGCCAGCCGCCGCGGUAAUACGGAGGGUGCGAGCGUUAAUCGGAAUUACUGGGCGUAAAGCGCAUGCAGGCGGUCUGUUAAGCAAGAUGUGAAAGCCCGGGGCUCAACCUCGGAACCGCAUUUUGAACUGGCAGACUAGAGUCUUGUAGAGGGAGGUAGAAUUUCAGGUGUAGCGGUGAAAUGCGUAGAGACCUGAAGGAAUACCGGUGGCGAAGGCGGCCCCCUGGACAAAGACUGACGCUCAGAUGCGAAAGCGUGGGGAGCAAACAGGAUUAGAUACCCUGGUAGUCCACGCCGUAAACGAUGUCUACUUGAAGGUUGUGGCCUUGAGCCGUGGCUUUCGGAGCUAACGCGUUAAGUAGACCGCCUGGGGAGUACGGUCGCAAGAUUAAAACUCAAAUGAAUUGACG
rnacentral:rRNA from 1 species